UGUGCUCUUAACCACUGAACCAUCUCUCCAGUCCGUUGAAUGUAAAUUUUAAAGUUUUUAAACUUUGCUGUGUAUAUGGGCAUUUUGCCUGCAUAUAUGUUUGUGUACCAUGUGCAUGUAGUGCUAGCGGGACAGAAGGUUUUGAAUCCCCUGGGACUAUAGUUAGAGACAAUUGUGAUUGUGAGAAUGGAAACUGAGCCCUACAUCCAGUACUUUUAACCACUGAGGCCAAAAUUUCUUUUAAAAACGGGGUGGGGUGGGCUGGAGAGAUGGCUCAUCCGUUAAGAGCACUGACUGCUCUUCUAGAGGUCCUGAAUUCAAUUCCCAACAACUACAUGGUGGCUCACGAUCAUAUGCAAUAGGAUCCAAUGCCCUCUUCUGGUGUGUCUGAAGACAGCAACAGUGUACUCAUAUAAAUAAAAAUAAAUCUUUUUUUUUUUUAAAGAACUUGGAGAGGUUGGGGAUUUAGCUCAGUGGUAGAGCGCUUGCCUAGCAAGCACAAGGCCCUGGGUUCGGUCCCCAGCUCCGAAAAAAAAAAAAGAAUUUGGAAUUUUUAUUACUGUGUUGAGAGAUGUGAGUGUGAACAUAUGUGGAGUCCAGAGAACAACUUUUGGUAAUCUGUUUGCUCCUUUCAGUAUGAUUCCCAGGGUAGAACCUAGCUGGUAAGCAUUUGUAACUGUUGAGCCACUUGCCAGCCAGCCCUCAGUUCAAGUUCUUAAAAUUUAGAAAACGGAUAUCGGAUAGCUGUGAAAUUGCAAAUCCAUUAGAAAAACAUCAGGAUGCAAAAAAAACAAAUUAAGCCAGGUCACGAAGAAGACUUCAAAGUUCCCUGGUGACAGAUAGCACUAAUGUCCAUCACCACAGUAAAAUGAUGUACUACAAAUGGCAGAGCAUUAUCAGAGUAUGGUGGCUUAUGGCUAUAAUCCCAAUAGUUGGGAAGGUAAAUCAGUAUUGCUGUCAGCUCCAUAGAGACUUCCCGACCAGCUUGGAAUAUAGAGUGAGAACCUGCACUAACCAACAAAUCGAAGGUUUCAUGAAGGAGGUGAUGAAUCUUGUAGAAGCAAAGACUCUCCUCCUUCCCACUUGAGUUCGGGUUUUUAAUUUAACCAACAGGCAUCUAUUGCUUUGGACAUUAAUUCAGCCCUUCACAGCAUUUCAAAUUCACUAUGGCUCUGCAGCGCUGAAUACGUGAUAAAACUUCAUCCGGAAGAGAAAUACAGUAAGCAUUCUUGCAAACACCAUCCCCAAUUUCUAUUCUAAAAUUACCCGUCAUAAGUGCUGUUGGCGAUAUACUUAAUUGAAAACGAAGAUCUAAAAACUUGAAAAAUCAAAAGAAAAUGUGUAACUUAAGGCUUAUGGAACAUAGUUUUAAGGGAAGCAAAAAAAAAAAAAAAAAAAAAAAAAAAAAAGAGAGACAUGGAGGCGUCCCAAACCGAGUAGCGUGAUAGAACACGCUCAGCAGGGCGGAUGUUUGCCCAAGGUUGGAGUGCAUAGCAGGAAAAGCAGCGCACGCAUUCACGCGCACGCGUCUGGAGGUUCUGGAUUCCUCCAUGGCGGAUGAACGAGCAGGGAAGUAAAACAGGCCACUCCUCGUUCAUUUUAGACGUUCCACGUGGAGGAAGAGCGUGGCGUGCGGUGGAGCGAGACCGUAGCCUAAUGGCUCGGCUAGUAAAGUCGUGAGUGCGUCAGCUCCGCCCUCAAACUGACGGAUCUGGACCCACCCCCUUUUCCCAGCCUCAUCACUUCCUGUUUGCCUAGCGCACGCUUUAAGGGUUUGUUUCAAGCCGGAAGGAGUCAAUUAUCUUUCCGCGCUGAUCACCCUAGCGUAGCGCACUACGCAGGCUCCGUAGCUCUUCGAGAAGCGGCGGACGGUUAGGGAGGAACUGGUUUCCACCUACACUCCCACGGUGGAGGCGGCGACACUACCGAGGAGGACCAGCAGUCUCAGUUAACCUGGACCCCUGAGAUCUCUCGGACACUGGAUCACCAACCAGGCAGCAGACACCAGCUGAGAUGAGGCCUCCAACACAUAUACAGCAGAGGACUCCCAGGUCUGGGUUCAGUCAGGGAAGAUGCAUCUAACCCUCAAGAGACUGGAGGCCCCAGGGAGUUUAGAACACUGGUAGGAUGGGUGGGGUGGGGACAUCCUCGUGGAGACUGGGGAAGGGGAUGUGGAACAGUCAGAGGGUGGACCAGGAGGGGGAUAAAAUCUGGAGUGUAAAAAAAAGAUAAUAAAAUUAAAAAAAAAACUUUCCCUAUUUAUGUCACUACAAGAUAUCACAAAGUUCUGAUGUUUUAGUACGGUUUCUUUUUAAGUGCUAGGUGGUGGAAACUGGAGCCCUGGAUAUACAGACAAGAGUCCUAUGAGCUAUAUAAGCCUAGCCCACUGUUUCAUUAAAUAUGAUGGUUCUGCUAGUUCUUUGCUUCGUAUGCUACAACAUUUCCUUUUCUACAUUUACUAAGGGUUUUUGUUUUGUUUUGUUUUUGGAGAUAGGAUGUCUCGUGUGACAAACCUGACUGUCUGGGAACUCUCUAAACUGGUUAUUCUGGUGAGUUUAAAAGACCACAAUGCUUAGAGAAAUGCAAAAGUGGAGGCCCACCUUGUGAGGUUUCGGAAGGGAAUGUGCACUCUAGAGGUCAUUCUUGUUGUAUUCUGGUAAAGAAUCGGACUGUUUUCUACCUCCAUCCUGAGAAGCAGAGUAAGGCUGAAUUUAAAAGUAAUGGACUAAUUUGGAGGAGGGAAUGUCAAGACAGGAGGCUGUCCCGUUAGGUGUCACUGCCUUUGUUCAGACCUACAGUAAAACAACAAAGGGAAUAGAAUAUGAAAAACAUAGUUUGGCAAGGGUCAAGAGGUUUUUUUUUUUUUUUUUUUUUUUUUUGGUUCUUUUUUCCGGAGCUGGGGACCGAACCCAGGGCCUUUCGCUUCCUAGGUAAGCGCUCAACCACUGAGCUAAAUCCCCAACCCCUGGGUCAGAGGUUUUAAGAUUUGUAAAUAAGUCUGACUCUGAAACAGCAGUUGUAAUUAUAAGACUAAGCGCCAUUACAUAGGACCCUUCUUUACUGCACAAUAAAGAAGUUUCUCCGAGGGCCUACCCAUCAAAGGCUCCAUCUUGUGAAAAUACAAAUGAAUUGAAAGGAGAGAACCUAACUUAACCAAAAAACAGGGGUUCCCUGCUCUAAACUCACCAUCUAGCCACAGAGCCCACUACAAUUUUUUGUUUAUGAAGGCUGACUAAAACCCAAAGAGACUGAGCUGACUUAAAAACAGAACUGGCAGCGUUACCCAUGUGUUCUUGGUUUUACAGGCAUGUAAGAUUCAAGAAUAUGAAGGGGGGGGGGCUGGAGAGAUGGCUGAGUGGUUAAGAGCACUGACUGCCCUUCCAGAGGUCCUGAGUUCAAUUCCUAGCAACCACACGGUGGCUCACAACCAUCUGUAAUGGGAUCUGAUGCCCUCUUCUGGUGUGUCUGAAAACAGCUACAGUGUACUUAAUAUAAUAAAUAAAUCUUAAAAAAAAAAAAGAAUAUGAAGGGGUAGGGCAGUAUCAUAAAAUCUUCCAAGACCCAAUGAGGCCAAGACAUGUGUAGCAGAACUUGACAGUUUGGACUACCCAAGAUUUCUCCCCCCCCCCUUUUUUUUUCGGAGCUGGGGACCGAACCCAGGGCCUUGUGCUUCCUAGGCAAGCGCUCUACCACUGAGCUAAAUCCCCAAUGGUUCCAUCAUGAACCUCAUGUGCCUGACAAGGAUUUGAGGUUUGACCUGUGGGUUUUGGUCUCGUUCUGGCCAGAUCUUUUGUUUCUGUAAACCCAUUCUUCCCUUUGCAAAUGGGAAUAUUUAUCUUCACAAAGUGUAUAAUUUAUGUUUUAAUUUUACAUUGGCUUACAGAAAACAGUACCUUAGGUCCCAGAUGAGACUGUUUAAUGACUAUGGAGACUUUUAGAGAUGGACUAGAUGCAUUUUGUAUUGAGACGAAAGUGUUAUGAUUUAUAAUGAUGUGGUCUGGCUGAGUGUGUAGUUAACAACGGGUGGAGUUGUGAAGAUUAAUCUUAUUAACUUGAUUGAAUAAUUUGUAAUCACCAUGGAAACACACCUCUCUGGGUUUGCACGUGAGCAUAGUUUCAGAAAGUAUGAGACCAAGGCCAGAACAAAUACCUUGCAGGUUGAAAUAAGGCCAAAACGGAGAACCUAUCUCACAGGAUGAGAGUUCUGUUUAUAUCAAAGCAGUUUGCUUGGUGCUAAAAUCCAGCUAAGAGAUAAGUCUGUUUGUCCUGUGUGAAGUCCCUGCUAAUUAAGGCCUCUAUUUGAAAUCAAGAGUAAAUUCCUGGUGUGAGGCCUUAAAACCCCCAUUCGCCCUUGUGCGUCUUUGCCUUUGUUAGGGCCUUUAACUCCCAUUCACUUGGUGCAUAUCCUUGUCUUUGUUCCUCACCUUUUCAUAGUAUCCUUUUAACAAUGAAUAAUCACCAACUCUCUCUCCCACUGCAAAGGCCUUAGCGCCUUAUCUCCCCUGGGGGCGGGGGCUUCAAGAAGCCAGUGGGGGCUGCUCUUAGAGGAGACCGGGACAGCCAGCUGGCCAGCCGGCCAGCCUGCAGUGCACUUGAGUACAGCUUGCUUUAAUUUGGACAAUGGCGGACUCAGUCCCUUUUUUCUUUCUUCUUGAAUCUCAGGAUUAACAAAAGAUUUAAGCAGAGAAAACCCACUCUGAACAGGAGUGUUACAAUCUCACGGGCUGUGGUUCUAGCUGAAUAACAGAAAGCAAAUGACCUGAGGUGCCUGGAGAGAUAGCUCAGCAAUAAACGGUGCCUGCUGCUCUUGUUAAAGCAUCGAGAUUCAGUUCCCAGAACCCAUAGGAGAGCUCACAACUCAGCUCCAGGGGACCUGACAUCUUAUUUUGACAUCUGUGGUUUCCUGUAUACACGUAAUGCACAUAUAUGCACUCAGGCACUGAGACAUACACAAAAAUGACUGACUCACUAAAUUUUAGUGUGGACUUUAUAUCUACAUGAAAACACUCAUUUUGUGUUAGUUAUGUUAGAGAUUGACUCAGAGCCUCAUCUAUACUAGGUCUGAACUCUACCUCCUUACCAUUUUUUUCUUUUCUUUUUUUCAGAGCUGGGGACCAAACCCAGGGCCUUUUGCUUGAUCCUUACCAUUUUUUAAAUGACUUUUUAAACAAGAUUUAUUAUGUAUACAGUGUUCUGCCUGCAUGUAUGCCUGAAGGCCAGAAGAGGGCACCACAUCUCAUUAUAGAUGGCUAUGAGCCACCAUGUGGGUGCUAGGAAUUGACCUCUGGAAGAGCAGCCAGUGCUCUUAACCUCUGAACCAUCUCUCCAGACCCCACUAACCAUGUUUCAUAGGAGUCUUCCCACUUUUAGGUAGCAGAACUUUUUUUUUUUUUUUCGGAGCUGGGGACCGAACCCAGGGUCUUGCGCAUAGGCAAGCGCUCUACCGCUGAGCUAAAUCCCCAACCAGAAAUUUUUAAAAAAUAAUAUUUAUUCUAUGUGCAUUGGCAUUUUGCCUGCAUGUAUGUCUGUGUGAGGAUGCUAAGUUUUCUGGAACUGGAGUUGCAGAAAGUUGUAAGCUGCCAUGUGGGUGCUGGGAAUUGAACCCGGAUCCUCUGGAAGAGCAGCCAGUGCUCUUGCUGGCUGAGCCAUCUCUCCAGCCCUGGGAGCAGGAAAUUUUAAUAAUUAGCAUACAAAAUUAGGAGUUUCAUCAUGGCAUUUUCAUACAUAUUUUUAUUUGACCCUUCCCUUUUCCCUGUCUUGAAAAACCAAAAUCAGGGCUGAAGAGAUGGCUCAGUGAUCUUCCAGAAGUCCGGAGUUCGGCCUGGAGAGAUGGCUCAGAGGUUAAGAGCACCGACUACUCUUCCAGAGGUUCUGAGUUCAAUCCCCAGCAACCACGUGGUGGCUCACAGUCGUCUGUAGCAGAAUCCGAUGCCCUCUUCUGGUGUGUCUGAAGACAGCUACAGUGUGCUCAGAAGUCCGGAGUUCAAUUUCCAGCAACCAUAUGGGCUCACUACCAUCUAUAAAAGGGAUCUGGGGGUUGGGAUUUAGCUCAGUGGUAGAGCGCUUGCCUAGCAUGCGCAAGGCCCUGAGUUCGGUCCCCAGCUCCGAAAAAAAAAAGAAAAAAAAAAGUAAAUCAUUAGUGUUUUGGGGUUGGGGAUUUAGCUCAGUGGUAGAGCGCUUGCCUAGGAAGCGCAAGGCCCUGGGUUCGGUCCCCAGCUCUGAAAAAAAGAACAAAAAAAAAAAAAAAAAAAGGGAUCUGAUGCCCUCUUCUGGCUUGCAGGUGUACAUGCAGACUCCUAAAUAAAAAAGUAGAAAGAGGCCAUGAGAAGAAAUUUUUGUGUGUGUGUGAUAGGGUCUCUCCGUAGCCCUGGCUGUUCUGAAGCUGAAACUGUUCAGGAUGGACUUAAACUCAGACGGACUUAAUCACAUAGUGGCUCACAACUAUCUGUAAAAGGAUCUGGCACCCCCUUCUGGUGUGUCUGAAGACAGCUACAGUACUUAUAUACCUAAAGUAAAAUAAAAAAAAAAAACUUUAUUAAAAAAAAAAAGAACCAAAAUCAUACCAAACCUACCUCCCUUUUUUUGAGACCCCCCCCCAAGCCUCCUCAGUGCUAAGGAUAUAAUUAUUCUAAACAAGCAGCUAGGGUAUCUGCUAUCUUCUGCUUUUAUCUUCAGCAAUAUUCGAUUACUGUCAAGAAUUGAUUUAUUGAAAGUUGGCAAAAUAUAUACUCAGAUCAAGAUUUUUGCAGAAGCCAAUUACAUGUAUCUAACUGGGUACCACGUGCACACCUGGUGCCUACAGAAGCCAGGUAAAGGUGCUGGAUUCCCUAAAACUGGAGUUACAGUUGUAAGCAGCCAUGUGAUCUAGGAACUGAACCCAGGUCCUCUGGAAGAGCAUCCAGUGUUCUUAACCAUGGAUCCCUCUUUCCAGCCACACAAACUAGUUUUUUUUUUAAAAAAGAUAUAUACACACACACACACACACACACAUACAUACAUACAUACAUACACACACUGAGCUGUCUUCAGACACAAGAGAAGAGGGCAUCAGAUUCCAUUACAGAUGGCUGUGAGCCACCAUGUGGUCACUGGGAAUUGAACUCAGGACCUCUGGAAGAGCAGUUAGUGUUCUUAACCACUGAGCCAUUUCUCUAGCCCCAGAAACUAGUUUUCAAUAAACCAAUCUCAUGAUCGUCUUUUUUCUUUUAAAGUGAUUUUUAUUUUAUGUGCAUUGAUCUGUUUUGUCUACAUGUAUGUCUGUGUGAGGGUGUUUGGUCCCCUGGAACAAUUACAGUUGUGAGCUGCCAUAUGGUUGCUGGGAUUUGAACUCUGGUCCACUGGAAGAGCAGCCAAUGUACUUAAUUGCUAAACCACCUCUCCAGGUGGUUUUUCCUUUAGACAGGGUUUGACUUCAGGCUGGUCUUGAAUUCAGUCUUUCAGUGUCAAUGUUCUGAGUGUUAGCAUUGGGGACAUGGAACCUGAAGAGGCCACCUCCUGUAGCCACACAGGAACCUCAGUGGAGCACGAGAAAUAAUCCAGCCUACAAAACUUUCAACCCAAGUUAUCCUGUCUACAAGAAAUGCAGGCACAGGAGAUGGAGUAUAGCCUGAGGGAAAGGCCAACCAAUAACCAGCCCAAGUUGAGAAUCAUCCCAUCGGCAAGCAGCAAUCCCUGACAUUACUGAUGCUCUGCUAUGCUUGCAGACAGGAGCAUGUUGUUCUCUGAGAGGCUCCACCCAGCAGCUGACUCAGAUAGACACCCACAGCCUUGGACUUGGAGCUUGAGGACUCUUAUGGAAGAAUAGGAGGAAAGACUGCAAGCCCAAAGGUGAUAAGAACUCCACAGGAAGUUCAACAGAGCCAACUAUCUGGACCCUUGGGUUCUCAAGAGUCUGAACCAACCAAAGAACAUACUGGAGUUGGGGUUAUUCCCAAAAGUGUUGCCUGUAUGUGGGACAUGUUCUUCUAGCUGGGCUGCCUUGUAUGGCCUCAGUGGGAGAAGUGCCUAGCCUCACAGAGACUUAAAGUGCCAGGGCAGGGGGAUACCCAGGGAGACACCACCUGCUCAGUGAAGGAGCAAAGGGGAUAGGGGAAGGAUUGUGGGAGGGUAUAGGGGUAGUGAGCAGAAUGUAAAGUAAAAAAUAAAAUUUAAAAAUAUAUACUUGUUUUUAGAAAAAAACCUCAAAGUAUAUUUCAUUAAAAGCAUCACCAAAUGAAGUCUUUUUCAAGAAUCCAGUUAUUUUCACAUUUACUAGUUUCUUCAUGCUACAAUACAACCUUUCAGAAUCAAUCAAAUACAUAAUGUCAAUAGGUUUCCUCAAAACUCACUAAGUCUCUAUAAGGCAGCUGCAGUAUCCAAAAGAGCACAGCAGAGUAAUUGUGGCCACUGAAAUCAGUGAUGUCAUUAUUUAGGAUGCCUAUUUCUAAACUCACUUCUUUCUCAACACUGGUGAAUUUUAAAAACUAUCAAAGCCUGGACUGCACCUCGGGGCUUUUAUUUCCCCCUUCAAACUUCCCCAGCAAU